ACUUGCAAAGAAAUACAUGUAAAGAAACUAUGCUAAAAAUUACCUCAUUCUGUGUUGCUUUUUAAAUUUUCAAUUCAUGCUGCCUUUACAAAUUAUUAAAUUUUUGCUUCACCACAUUCUGUCCUCUAAUCAGGUUUUGGUCACAGUCCCCUCACACAUCACACACCAUAUCUGUUUGUUGUCUGCUUUAUUGGUUGGUCCAUCAGUUGGUCCCUAGUCACCAAAGGCAUCCAUCUUGCUGCACCAUUUCCAUAAGUCUGUUUGGUUGGUUGUUCAUAGCAUCAGUUGGUCAGUUGGAACACCAUGUACCAUCUUGAAUUCUCUAAUUUUGAGUUGGUUCAGUGGUUUAUCAUCAGCAUGGCUUUCUUCGAGUAGUUGAUCUGUAGCCGUCUCUGGUGGAUUUUGUGGCGAGACAAAAAUUCAACAACUUGCAAAGAAAUACAUGUAAAGAAACUAUGCUAAAAAUUACAUCAUUCUGUAUUGCAUUUUAAAUUUUCAAUUCAUGCUGCCUUUACAAAUUAUUAAAUUUUUGCUUCACCACGUUCUGUCCUCUAAUCAGGUUUUGGUCACAGUCCCCUCACACAUCACACACCAUAUCUGUUUGUUGUCUAGUUUAUUGGUUGGUCCAUCAGAUGGUCCCUAGUCACCAAAGGCAUCCAUCUUGCUGUACCAUUUCCAUAAGUCUGUUUGGUUGGUUGGUCAUAGCAUCAGUUGGUCAGUUGGAACACCAUGUACCAUCUUGAAUUCUCUAAUUUUGAGUUGGUUCAGUGGUUUAUCAUCAGCAUGGCUUCCUUUGAGUAGUUGAUCUGUAGCCGUCUUUGGUGGAGUUUGUGGUGAGACAAAAAUUCAACAACUUGCAAAGAAAUACAUGUAAAGAAACUAUGCUAAAAAUUACAUCAUUCUGUAUUGCAUUUUAAAUUUUCAAUUCAUGCUGCCUUUACAAAUUAUUAAAUUUUUGCUUCACCACAUUCUGUCCUCUAAUCAGGUUUUGGUCACAGUCCCCUCACACAUCACACACCAUAUCUGUUUGUUGUCUGCUUUAUUGGUUGGUCCAUCAGUUGGUCCCUAGUCACCAAAGGCAUCCAUCUUGCUGCACCAUUUCCAUAAGUCUGUUUGGUUGGUUGGUCAUAGCAUCAGUUGGUCAGUUGGAACACCAUGUACCAUCUUGAAUUCUCUAAUUUUGAGUUGGUUCAGUGGUUUAUCAUCAGCAUGGCUUCCUUUGAGUAGUUGAUCUGUAGCCGUCUCUGGUUGAGUUUGUGGUGAGACAAAAAUUCAAUCACUUGCAAAGAAAUACAUGUAAAGAAACUAUGCUAAAAAUUACCUCAUUCUGUGUUGCUUUUUAAAUUUUCAAUUCAUGCUGCCUUUACAAAUUAUUAAAUUUUUGCUUCACCACAUUCUGUCCUCUAAUCAGGUUUUGGUCACAGUCCCCUCACACAUCACACACCAUAUCUGUUUGUUGUCUGCUUUAUUGGUUGGUCCAUCAGUUGGUCCCUAGUCACCAAAGGCAUCCAUCUUGCUGCACCAUUUCCAUAAGUCUGUUUGGUUGGUUGUUCAUAGCAUCAGUUGGUCAGUUGGAACACCAUGUACCAUCUUGAAUUCUCUAAUUUUGAGUUGGUUCAGUGGUUUAUCAUCAGCAUGGCUUUCUUUGAGUAGUUGAUCUGUAGCCGUCUCUGGUGGAUUUUGUGGCGAGACAAAAAUUCAACAACUUGCAAAGAAAUACAUGUAAAGAAACUAUGCUAAAAAUUACAUCAUUCUGUAUUGCAUUUUAAAUUUUCAAUUCAUGCUGCCUUUACAAAUUAUUAAAUUUUUGCUUCACCACGUUCUGUCCUCUAAUCAGGUUUUGGUCACAGUCCCCUCACACAUCACACACCAUAUCUGUUUGUUGUCUGCUUUAUUGGUUGGUCCAUCAGUUGGUCACUAGUCACCAAAGGCAUCCAUCUUGCUGCACCGUUUCCAUGUGUCUGUUUGGUUGGUUGGUUGUAGCAUCAGUUGGUCAGUUGGAACACCAUGUACCAUCUUGAAUUCUCUAAUUUUGAGUUGGUUCAGUGGUUUAUCAUCAGCAUGGCUUCCUUUGAGUAGUUGAUCUGUAGUCGUCUCUGGUUGAGUUUGUGGUGAGACAAAAAUUCAACAACUUGCAAAGAAAUACAUGUAAAGAAACUAUGCUCAAAAUUACCUCAUUCUGUGUUGCUUUUUAAAUUUUCAAUUCAUUCUGCCUUUACAAAUUAUCAAAUUUUUGCUUCACCACAUUCUGUCCUCUAAUCAGAUUUUGGUCACAGUCCCCUCACACAUCACACACCAUAUCUGUUUGUUGUCUGGUUUAUCGGUUGGUCCCUAGUCACCAAAGGCAUCCAUCUUGCUGCACCAUUUCCAUGUGUCUGUUUGGUUGGUUAGUUGGUUGUAGCAUCAGUUGGUCAGUUGGAACACCAUGUACCAUCUUGAAUUCUCUAAUUUUGAGUUGGUUCAGUGGUUGAUCGUCAGCAUGGCUCCUUUUGAGUAGUUGAUCUGUAGUCUUCUCUGAUGGAGUUUGUGGUGAGACAAAAAUUCAACAACUUGCAAAGAAAUACAUGUAAAGAAACUAUGCUAAAAAUUACCUCAUUCUGUGUUGCUUUUUAAAUUUUCAAUUCAGGCUGCCUUUACAAAUUAUCAAAUUUUUGCUUCACCACAUUCUGUCCUCUAAUCAGGUUUUGGUCACAGUCCCCUCACACAUUACACACCAUAUCUGUUUGUUGUCUGGUUUAUCGGUUGGUCCCUAGUCACCAAAGGCAUCCAUCUUGCUGCACCAUUUCCAUGUGUCUGUUUGGUUGGUUGGUUGGUUGUAGCAUCAGUUGGUCAGUUGGAACACCAUGUACCAUCUUGAAUUCUCUAAUUUUGAGUUGGUUCAGUGGUUGAUCGUCAGCAUGGCUUCUUUUGAGUAGUUGAUCUGUAGUCGUCUCUGAUGGAGUUUGUGGUGAGACAAAAA